CAAGCCUAGACUCAGGAUUUAUGAUCCGUGUGACCCAGGAUUAAUCUGGUGACAACUGACAACACACACAAGUUUCCUUUACGACACGUGCAAGUUUAACCAACAGCACCAUGACGUGAGUCCCUGAGGAUGCCGAGAUGAGGGAAGUGAGGCUCAGAGAAGACUUGUGACCUGCAUCGGGUCCUCCCGAGCUGUCUGACUCCACGGCUCUGGUCCUUGCCUGCUGUUGGACCAUCCUGCCUCCCCCUGGAUGACCUGCCAGAGAGUGGACGCUGCUCUCUGGGGCCCGAGAGAGCGGGGGUCAGACUGGGGAGCCCACAGGAACUACCAUCGGCAGCUCAGACAGCCCAGCCACCGCUGUGCUGUGGAGACACACCAAGCCACAGGGGGCGAGGCCUGGCUCCCAGACUUAUUUGCUGUGUGACUGUCGGCACGCUGGCUUCCUGUUUGAACCUUCGUGUCCUCAACUGUUCAAAGAAGAUGAAGAUCCUCAUGUGUGGUUAAGGCGGUAACAGAUGGAAGUUUGUCUUUUGGAAGAACCUGGAGCAUUUGACGGGAAGAGUUUUCAAGAGUCUGGAUCACCGCUGUUAUUUUUCAUAUGUGCUCCCUUCCCUCCAGCUCCCUCUUUCCAGCUCCUUCCCUCUUUGUGCUUGGAUUUGAAGUGACAUAGAUUGGGUCGCAUAGUGACAUAGGACUGUUUUUCCAGUUGCUGUGUGACCUUGGACAAGUCCCUUAACCUCUCUGAACCUGUUUCCUCAACUGGCAAAUGAAAGGAUGACCUAAAAGAUCUCUGAGGGCCUUCCAGCUUUCUCCGUCUCAUCUCUCAAGCACCAGGCUCCUGUCUCACAGUCUCUUCUUAAAAGCAACUUUACUGGGCGAAAAGAACACUGGGAUGAGAAUCAGAGAGACCUGCUGGAAUCCAAUUUGCACCGGGACUAGCUCUGUGAACUUGGGCAAGUUGCUUAACCUCUCUGAGUUUCUACUUCCUCGUCUGUAGAAUGGGGAUCCUGAUACCUGACCCCUGGAUCUGGAGCAAGGCUUAAAUGAGAUCUUGUCCAUAAAGCAUUUGGUGUCUGGCACUAAAUGGAUAUGCUAAAGAAAUGUUGC
rnacentral:lncRNA from 1 species